rnacentral:rRNA from 1 species
GACGAACGCUGGCGGCGUGCUUAACACAUGCAAGUCGAGCGGUAAGGCCUUUCGGGGUACACGAGCGGCGAACGGGUGAGUAACACGUGGGUGACCUGCCCUCCACUCUGGGAUAAGCCCGGGAAACUGGGUCUAAUACCGGAUAUGACCUUCUCCUGCAUGGGGGUUGGUGGAAAGUUUUUCGGUGGGGGAUGGGCCCGCGGCCUAUCAGCUUGUUGGUGGGGUGAUGGCCUACCAAGGCGACGACGGGUAGCCGGCCUGAGAGGGCGACCGGCCACACUGGGACUGAGACACGGCCCAGACUCCUACGGGAGGCAGCAGUGGGGAAUAUUGCGCAAUGGGCGAAAGCCUGACGCAGCGACGCCGCGUGGGGGAUGACGGCCUUCGGGUUGUAAACCUCUUUCGCCAGGGACGAAGCGCAAGUGACGGUACCUGGAUAAGAAGCACCGGCCAACUACGUGCCAGCCGCCGCCGUAACAC